UUUGCAGGAACUUGGGUUACCUUUGGAGGUCAGGUCACAGAUGAGGUGGCAGAAGAACUCAUGACAAUAGCAUACGAGAAUGGAAUCAACUUGUUUGACACAGCUGAAGUCUAUAACUCUGGAAAAGCUGAAGCUGUCUUGGGAAGUAUCCUAAAAAAGAAAGGAUGGAGGUAGAGUUCUUCUGGGCCUUGUUUGUGAUUGCUUGCAAUUUGUGAUAUUAAAAGUAGAUUUACAUUAUUUUUUUGAAAUAUGUACCCAACUUUUGAGAUUUUUUUUGUCUUCAGAUGAUUGGAUAGCACUCUAUUACAGCUCAGUAAUAAUAUGGUAGUAGUGGAAUACCAAGGGGGCAAUAAUAAGGUAAUAAUUUGGAAAUUUCCAAGUUACUACUACUACUCAGUUACCAGAAAAAGGAGUUGGUAAUAGGGAGCUGGUAAUAAUCUCAUUAUUCAAUAGUAAGUUAAUUUUGGCUGAUGUUUUAGCAUAAUAUCAUAGUUUUACCAUUUGAUAAUUCUUUAUAUAAUCCUAACUUGGGUUUCCAGCAUUCAACUUUUCUUAAAAAUAAUAAUAGAUUAAAUAUAGUGUUCAAUGUUCUGGCUUAUUAAAAGGAAACAUGUAUGGAAAUUUCUGUGUAAUAGGCAUGAAUCAGGGCAGCAAAAUACAAAGUUGCCUGUUUCCAUUUAUUAUCUUGUCAGUCACUGAUUAAACGGGUGAACAGGAAACACUUGUGCAAAAUGCAGAACCACCUGUUUCAAAAACUUUUUUUUUAAUUUAAAAUAAAAUGCAAUAAAAAAAAAAAAGUAAAAUCCAAAAGCUAGUGGUAAAAAUAUCAAUGCACCCAUCCAUCUUCAUCCGCUUUAUCCGAGGCUGGGUCGCGGUGGCAGCAGCCUAAGCA